rnacentral:misc_RNA from 1 species
GGCCCAUAGGUUGGGUCGUGACAAGAAGGGUCCUUAGAGAUCACUGGAAUUGAACUCUAUGGUAGUCUUGGAUCUUAUCUCUACUGAGAAUUUCUCAAUGUUGUCUUAUUGAAGAGCCCUUAGGAGAUAUAGUUUGUGUCAUUGUUAUAGGGAGCCAAUAGAGUUGUUGAUAGCCUGUUUAAUUUGAAGAAAUUAUAUAAUAAAGUGAUUAUUUCAUGUCAGUAUUUGAUAUGAAAUGAUAACUCGACAGUAAUUAAACAUAUAUGUAAAUGUAGUUAUUAUUUAAAAAAAAAAAAAACUGUAAGGUAGGUUACAAAUAUUUGAAAUCCACUCAUGUAUACCUAUAAACCCAUUCAUACAUAUAUGUCCAUUUAUUAUUAGAUUGAAACCUCAAUGCAUAUAAAUCAAAAUUAACCUCAAUGCCAAGCUAUGCUAUAUAUCCUACUACAAUAAUAAUAAUUUGAUGCAAAUUGAGGUUUUAUUGAACUAGAAAGAGAAGACAUGAGGAAGAAGAAGAAAUCAAGAAAGAUUACAAAGAGAAAGAACAAGCUCAUGAAUACUCAUACAUGACUUCUCUAUAAUUACAUGAGCCUAUUUAACAAGAUCCAAGAACAAUUGAACAAUGCCCACAGUAGAAUGACAGCUCAUGCAUUCAGUUACAAUACAACAAAAUGAUAGCUCAUGCAUUCCAUUAAAACAACUCCCAUCCUUCGUGCCAAUCCUUCUCCCACUAUUUCAUCUACUUAUUGAUAUGACAUCAUCUCAUUAUUGCUACCUG